rnacentral:rRNA from 1 species
UAGGGAAUAUUGGGAAAUGGGCGAAAGCCCGACCCAGCAACGCCGCGUGCGCGAAGAAGGCCUUCGGGUUGUAAAGCGCUUUUCAGAGGGAUGAGGAAGGACAGUACCUUUGGAAUAAGUCUCGGCUAACUACGUGCCAGCAGCCGCGGUAACACGUAGGAGACGAGCGUUAUCCGGAUUUACUGGGUGUAAAGCGCGUGUAGGCGGCUGGGUAAGUUGGAUGUGAAAGCUCCUGGCUUAACUGGGAGAGGUCGUUCAAGACUGCCUGGCUCGAGUGCAGCAGAGGGGAGUGGAAUUCCGAGUGUAGCGGUAAAAUGCAUAGAUAUUCGGAAGAACACCAGUGGCGAAGGCGGCUCUCUGGGCUGCAACUGACGCUCAGACGCGAAAGCUAGGGUAGCGA